CAGUCGCCGCGGUAAUACGUAGGUGGCAAGCGUUAUCCGGAAUUAUUGGGCGUAAAGCGCGCGUAGGCGGUUUCUUAAGUCUGAUGUGAAAGCCCACGGCUCAACCGUGGAGGGUCAUUGGAAACUGGGAAACUUGAGUGCAGAAGAGGAAAGUGGAAUUCCAUGUGUAGCGGUGAAAUGCGCAGAGAUAUGGAGGAACACCAGUGGCGAAGGCGACUUUCUGGUCUGUAACUGACGCUGAUGUGCGAAAGCGUGGGGAUCAAACAGGAUUAGAUACCCCAGUAGUCCCUGUCUCUUAUAC
rnacentral:rRNA from 1 species